rnacentral:sRNA from 1 species
GGAACGUUCCGGGCGUUCUCGCUACGUACUCUUUAUCAAUCGUCUUCCCGCGCAGCCCCAUCCCUGUUUUCUGUGCUCCUUCGAGCUUGCUGUUUGUCCGGGUUUUUUACGUUUUAAUUUCCAGGACUUGAACUGCCAUGUCCUCUGAAGAAGGAAAGCUCUUCGUGGGAGGGCUCAACUUUAACACCGACGAGCAGGCACUGGAAGACCACUUCAGCAGUUUCGGACCUAUCUCUGAGGUGGUCGUUGUCAAGGACCGGGAGACUCAGCGGUCCAGGGGUUUUGGUUUCAUCACCUUCACCAACCCAGAUCUCUGGAUGGUCGUCAGAUCCGUGUGGAUCAUGCAGGCAAGUCUGCUCGGGGAACCAGAGGAGGUGGCUUUGGGGCCCAUGGGCGUGGUCGCAGCUACUCUAGAGGUGGUGGGGACCAGGGCUAUGGGAGUGGCAGGUAUUAUGACAGUCGACCUGGAGGGUAUGGAUAUGGAUAUGGACGUUCCAGAG